CAGCCGCCGCGGUAAUACGUAGGUGGCAAGCGUUGUCCGGAAUUAUUGGGCGUAAAGGGCUCGCAGGCGGUUUCUUAAGUCUGAUGUGAAAGCCCCCGGCUCAACCGGGGAGGGUCAUUGGAAACUGGGAAACUUGAGUGCAGAAGAGGAGAGUGGAAUUCCACGUGUAGCGGUGAAAUGCGUAGAGAUGUGGAGGAACACCAGUGGCGAAGGCGACUCUCUGGUCUGUAACUGACGCUGAGGAGCGAAAGCGUGGGGAGCGAACGGGAUUAGAUACCCCCGUAGUCCCUGUCUCUUAUAC
rnacentral:rRNA from 1 species